rnacentral:rRNA from 1 species
UGGCGUCAGGACGAACGGCUGGCGGCGUGCUUAACACAUGCAAGUCGAGCGAUGAAGCUCUUCGGAAGUGGAUUAGCGGCGGACGGGUGAGUAACACGUGGGUAACCUGCCUCAUAGAGGGGAAUAGCCUUCCGAAAGGAAGAUUAAUACCGCAUAAGAUUGUAAUAUUGCAUGAUAUAGCAAUUAAAGGAGUAAUCCGCUAUGAGAUGGACCCGCGUCGCAUUAGCUAGUUGGUGAGGUAACGGCUCACCAAGGCGACGAUGCGUAGCCGACCUGAGAGGGUGAUCGGCCACAUUGGGACUGAGACACGGCCCAGACUCCUACGGGAGGCAGCAGUGGGGAAUAUUGCACAAUGGGGGAAACCCUGAUGCAAGCAACGCCGCGUGAGUGAUGACGGUCUUCGGAUUGUAAAGCUCUGUCUUCAGGGACGAUAAUGACGGUACCUGAGGAGGAAGCCACGGCUAACUACGUGCCAGCCGCCGC